rnacentral:rRNA from 1 species
UCGGUCAUUUAGAGGAAGUAAAAGUCGUAACUAGGUAACCACGCAGGGAAGCUUGUGCUAAUACCGUACGUGCCCUUUUGGGGAAAGAUUUAUCGGUCAGGGAUCGGCCCGCGUUGGAUUAACUAGUUGGUGGGGUAAAGGCCUACCAAGGCGACCAUCCAUAGCUGGUCUGACAGGAUGAUCAACCACAUUGGGACUGAGACACAGCCCAAACUCCUACGGGAGGCAGCAGUGGGGAAUAUUGGACAAUGGGCGCAAGCCUGAUCCAGCCAUGCCGCGUGAGUGAUGAAGGCCCUACGGUUGUAAAGCUCUUUCACCGGAGAAGAUAAUGACGGUCUCCGGAGAAGAAGCCCCGGCUAACUUCGUGCCAGCAGCCGCGGUAAUACGAACGGGGCUAGCGUUGUUCGCAAUUACUGGGCGUAAAGCGCACGUACGCGGACAUUUAAGUCAGGGGUGAAAUCCCACAUCUCAACUCUGGAACUGCCUUUGAUACUGGGUGUCUUGAGUAUGGAAGAGGUGAGUGAAAUUCCCAGUGGGGAGCAAACAGGAUUAGAUACCUUGGUAGUCCACGCCGUAAACGAUGAAUGUUAGCCGUCGGGCAGUAUACUGUUCGGUGGCGCAGCUAACGCAUUAAACAUUCCGCGGGGGGAGUACGGUCGCAAGAUUAUCACUCAAAGGAAUUGGCGGGGGCCCGCACAAGCGGUGGAGCAUGUGGUUUAAUUGGAAGCAACGCGCAGAACCUUGCCAGCCCUAGACAUGCCCGGCUACUUGCAGAGAUGCAAGGUUCCUUUCGGGGACCGGGACACAGGUGCCGCAUGGCUGUCGUCAGCUCGUGUCGUGAGAUGUGGGGAUAAGUCCCGCAACGAGCGCAACCCUCGCCUUUAGUCGCCAGCAUUCAGUUGGGCACUAUAAGGGGACUGCCGGUGAUAAGCCGAGAGGAAGGUGGGGAUGACCUCAACUCCUCAUGCCCCUUGCGGGGUGGGCUACACACGUGCCACAAUGGUGGUCACAGUGGGCAGCGAGGCCGAGAGGCCGAGCAAAUCUCCAAAAGCCAUCUCAGUUCGGAUUGCACUCUGCAACUCGAGUGCAUGAAGUUGGAAUCGCUAGUAAUCGCGGAUCAGCAUGCCGCGGAGAAUACGUUCC